GGGUCGUUAGCUCAGGUGGUAGAGCAGUUGGCUUUUAACCAAUUGGGCGCUGCUUCGAAUCCACCACGACCCACCA
rnacentral:tRNA from 1 species